rnacentral:rRNA from 1 species
GAUGAACGCUGGCGGCGUGCCUAAUACAUGCAAGUCGAGCGAAUGGAUUAAGAGCUUGCUCUUAUGAAGUUAGCGGCGGACGGGUGAGUAACACGUGGGUAACCUGCCCAUAAGACUGGGAUAACUCCGGGAAACCGGGGCUAAUACCGGAUAACAUUUUGAACCGCAUGGUUCGAAAUUGAAAGGCGGCUUCGGCUGUCACUUAUAGAUGGACCCGCGUCGCAUUAGCUAGUUGGUGAGGUAACGGCUCACCAAGGCAACGAUGCGUAGCCGACCUGAGAGGGUGAUCGGCCACACUGGGACUGAGACACGGCCCAGACUCCUACGGGAGGCAGCAGUAGGGAAUCUUCCGCAGUGGACGAAAGUCUGACGGAGCAACGCCGCGUGAGUGAUGAAGGCUUUCGGGUCGUAAAACUCUGUUGUUAGGGAAGAACAAGUGCUAGUUGAAUAAGCUGGCACCUUGACGGUACCUAACCAGAAAGUCACGGCUAACUACGUGCCAGCAGCCGCCGUAA